rnacentral:rRNA from 1 species
GGUUAAGCAAAGAAAGGCACAGGGUGGAUGCCCUGGCACUGGGAGCCGAAGAAAGACGUGAUAAGCUGCGAAAAGCUGCGGGGAGUGGCAAAUACACUGUAAUCCGCAGAUAUCUGAAUGGGGAAACCCACGCAGGAAGCCCCUGCGUAUCCGUAACUGAAUCCAUAGGUUGCGGAGGGGAACCCGGCGAACUGAAACAUCUAAGUAGCCGGAGGAAAAGAAAACAAAAGUGAUUCCCGAAGUAGCGGCGAGCGAAACGGGAUUAGCCCAAACCGUUAUGCGAGUCAUAGCGGGGUAAGGACUGCCAAAAGGACUGAGGAAUGUAACGGAACAGGCAUGGGAAGGCCGGCCAAAGAGGGUGAGAGCCCCGUAGGUGAAACAGGAAACAGGCAGGCAGGAUCCAGAGUACUGCGGGGCACGAGAAACCUUGCAGGAAGAUACGGGGACCACCCCGAAAGGCUAAAUACUACCCAGUGACCGAUAGAGAAUAGUACUGUGAAGGAAAGGUGAAAAGGACCCCGGGAGGGGAGUGAAAGAGAACCUGAAACCCUGUGUCCACAAGCUGUGGAAGUAUGGAAACGUACAACCGCGUACUUUUUGUAGAACGGUCCGGCGAGUUGCGUGUGCAGGCAAGGUUAAGCCGCUAAGCGGUGGAGCCGAAGUGAAAGCGAGCGUUAAUAGCGCGAUAUAGUCAGCAGACGCAGACCCGAAACCGGGUGACCUAUCCAUGUCCAGGCUGAAGCUGCCGUAAAAGGCAGUGGAGGGCCGAACCCACAUCCGUUGAAAAGGGUGGGGAUGAGGUGUGGAUAGCGGAGAAAUUCCAAUCGAACUCGGAGAUAGCUGGUUCUCCCCGAAAUAGCUUUAGGGCUAGCCCUUCAUAUACCUAAUGGAGGUAGAGCACUGAAUUUCCUAGGGGGCGUCAAAGCCUACCGAAGAAUAUCAAACUCCGAAUGCCAUAAAGGAAAAGUGAAGGAGUCAGACUACACGAGAUAAGUCGGGUGGUCAAAAGGGAAAGAGCCCAGACCCGCAGCUAAGGCCCCAAAGUGUGUGUUAAGUGGAGAAGGAUGUGGGGUUCCGAAGACAGCCAGGAUGUUGGCUCAGAAGCAGCCAUACAUUAAAAGAGUGCGUAAUAGCUCACUGGCCGAGGGGCCCUGCGCCGAAAAUGUCCGGGGCUGAAACACACCGCCGAAGCUCGGGGAUUGCACGGAAGUGUAAUCGGUAGGGGAGCAUCGUUAACACGGAGAAGCUAAAGCCGAAAGGCAUAGUGGAGAGUUAGGGAGAGAGAAUGCCGGAAUGAGUAGCGAGAUGGAGGUGAGAAUCCUCCAGGCCGAAUAUCCAAGGAUUCCGGGGUAAAGCUGAUCUGCCCCGGGUAAGUCGGGACCUAAGGCGAGGCCGGAAGGCGCAGCCGAUGGAGAGCAGGUGGAGAUUCCUGCACUACUAUAUAACAGAACUGUGGGGACGCAUGUAAGGAGCGUGAGCCGGGAAAGGGAAGACCGGUGCAAGCGGAGGAGCGGGUGCAAAGGAAAAGCCGUGCACAGAAAGCGGAGCCGUUAAGCGGAGCGAAAGAAAGUAGCGAAGUACGCAAGGUAUGUGCCAAGAAAAGCCGCUAUUGUUUGUAUAGUACCCGUACCGUAAACCGACACAGGUGGAUGAGGAGAGAAUCCUAAGGCCGACGGGAGAAGCAUUGUUAAGGAACUCGGCAAAAUAGCCCCGUAACUUCGGGAGAAGGGGCGCCUGCUUAGGCAGGCCGCAGUGAACAGGCCCAAGCAACUGUUUAGCAAAAACACAGGUCUAUGCGAAACCGGAAGGUGAGGUAUAUGGGCUGACGCCUGCCCGGUGCUGGAAGGUUAAGAGGAGGAGUCAGGAGACGAAGCUCUGAAUUUAAGCCCCAGUAAACGGCGGCCGUAACUAUAACGGUCCUAAGGUAGCGAAAUUCCUUGUCGGGUAAGUUCCGACCCGCACGAAAGGCGUAAUGAUUUGGGCGCUGUCUCAACAAUGGACCCGGUGAAAUUGAAGUGCCAGUGAAGAUGCUGGCUACCCGCGCCAGGACGGAAAGACCCCAUGGAGCUUUACUCCAGCUUGAUGCUGGGAUUUGGUGCUGUAUGUACAGGAUAGGUGGGAGGCAGAGAUAGAAGGACGCCAGUUCUUAAGGAGCCGCCGUUGGGAUACCACCCUUGCAGCAUUGGAUUUCUAACCUGCGCCGGAUACCCGGCGGGGGACAACGUCUGGCGGGGAGUUUGACUGGGGCGGUCGCCUCCGAAAGGGUAUCGGAGGCGCUCAAAGGUCCCCUCAGGAUGGACGGGAACCAUCCGCAGAGUGCAAAGGCAUAAGGGGGCCUGACUGUGACACCGACGGGUGGAGCAGGCAGGAAACUGGGACUUAGUGAUCCGGUGGUAUUAAGUGGGAAAGCCAUCGCUCAACGGAUAAAAGCUACCCUGGGGAUAACAGGCUGAUCACUCCCAAGAGUUCACAUCGACGGAGUGGUUUGGCACCUCGAUGUCGGCUCAUCGCAUCCUGGGGCUGAAGCAGGUCCCAAGGGUUGGGCUGUUCGCCCAUUAAAGCGGUACGCGAGCUGGGUUCAGAACGUCGUGAGACAGUUCGGUCCCUAUCCGGCGCGGGCGCAGGAUAUAUGAGGGGAGCCGUCCUUAGUACGAGAGGACCGGGACGGACGGGCCGCUGGUGAACCUGUUGGGGACCAACCCCACAGCAGGGUAGCCAAGCCCGGGAGGGAUAAACGCUGAAGGCAUCUAAGCGUGAAGCCCACCCCGAGAUGAGAUAUCCGAGACAAAAGUCGAAGGCCCCUUAGAGAGAAUGAGGUAGAUAGGCCUGAGGUGUAGGCACAGUAAUGUGCAGAGCUGACAGGUACUAAUAGGCCGGAAGCUUAACCGAG